rnacentral:snoRNA from 2 species
AACGCAAAAUUCACAGCUGCCAUGGCAAAAGCAUCUCUACGAGGUUAGCCCUUGCGGCUCGACCCAGGAAAUAUGUGGAUAAGCCAUCUUGACACGGUAGACUGGAGAACAAAAUUAGCCGAUCUUGGGUGCAGCGAGUGUGGAGUAAUCUGAAGGGUUCCCUUUGUGGUCCCGUAUGGCGCUUGGUGCAAUGAUCGACGAGACAUUC